CGGAGUGCUUUGCGGCGAUCGUUAUUUUGCUUUUACGUGUGAUUACGUGUGUUUAAAGAAGAAGUUGGGGCGGCAUAUUUUAUAUUGAAAGUUUGACCAGCUACCAGCCAUUGGUUCUGGAUCAGCCUGUUUUAUGAGCACUGGACUGGAAGGAUGGGGACUGGGGCUGGGGCAAGAUCAUGAUGGCAAUGCUUGUGUGGUGCCUUGAGUGUUAAGCAUGUAUGUGUAUUGGGUGUUGUAUACAGUGCCUUCGUGUUAAUGUUUGUAAAUGCCAGUGUUUGCUUAAUUUAACUGUUUGAUUGAUGCUUAGGGAUGACAUUGGGCAAUAAUGUAUGUAUUGCUAGGAUGUUUGAUAUUGAAAGUAGUUUUGUGUAUCACUUAUGUUUAUAAAGACCAAUGGACACCUGAACCCUGAUGCGUUAAGGCGUGGAGAUCUACUGGUCAUGUUUGUAUCCAUACGUCUCCACUUCCCUACUUGCCCCUUGUUCUAUCAAUGGCCUCCGUUACUGGAGGGCAGUGGGCACUGAUCAGUGUUUUUUAGAUGUCUGUGAACUUGUCCGUCCUUGGGAGUUGUUUCUGAUGGGCUGUUGUUUUGAAGAAAGCUAAUGCUGAGCGCUGUAGAUCGGUGAGUUUUUGUUGCAAAUAGAAUCGUCUCAUUCA